UCUUCUGGAGGGCGCGGAAGCCGGAGGUCUCGGGCCACCGUCCGGCCCAGGCGGGACCCCGUAGUGCCGGGGUCUGUCCUCGACUUCGACCCUGGGUGCGGUGUCCCCAGUUCGGGUCUUCCCUCGGGCGCGGGUGGAGCAGAGCUGCAUCUUCACCGUCCUCUGCACUCUUCCAAGACCCACCGGAAACGAACACAUCUGAGGGGAGCUCUUGAUUCAUUCCCCCAACUUGUGAUUGGUGAGCAGUGUGCCUUCACAGACAUCAAUGCCAUUCAAGGACAUGAGUGUGGCGUUUACCCAGGAGGAGUGGCAGCAUGUGAACCCUGCUCAGAGGACCCUGUACAGAGCUGUGAUGCUGGAGAACCAUAGCCACCUUGUCUCACUGGGAAGAAGAUUCCUCACACCCAGUGGAACCACCCUUCUGUCAGAUAGAGAAGGCUCUCUGCCUCCAGGGUUCUGCCAAACCGUCCACAAGAGCAGUCAGUCAGUCAUUUCCUCCCAAGCAUGGCUUUCAAUAAACUAACAAAACAAAACAAAAACAGAAAAACACAAAAAGCAACAAACUGAUGCUGUUGUCUCCUAGAUUAUAUCAGUAUUACCAUGGGAGUGCUGCAGGUAUGGAAGUCAGAAGCUGGAAGAAAUUAUUUGAGGAGCUUUAAUAUCUAUGGUUUUUCCAGUGGUCAUGUAUGGAUGUGAGUUGGACUGUGAAGAAAGUUGAGGGCCGAAAAAUUGAUGCUUUUGAACUGUGGUGUUGGAGAAGACUCUUGAGAGUCCCUUGGACUGCAAGGACAUCCAACCAGUCCAUUGUAAAGGAGAUCAGGCCUGGGUGUUCAUUGGAAGGACUGAUGCUGAAGCUGAAACUCCAAUACUUUGGCCACCUGAUGUGAAGAGUUGACUCAUUGGAAAAGACCCUGAUGCUGGGAGGGAUUGGGGGCAGGAGGAGAAGGGGACAACAGAGGAUGAGAUGGCUGGAUGGCAUCACCAACUCAAUGGACAUGAGUUUGAGUAAACUUCGGGAAUUGGUGAUGGACAGGGAGGCCUGACAUGCUGUGAUUCAUGGGGUUGCAAAGAGUUGGACACGACUGAGCGACUGAACUGAACUGAAGACCUAAACAGUUACUGCAAUACUAUUGAGAUUUAAUUGUAUUAUGUAGCUGGAAUGGGCCCUUAACACACAAGGACCCAACUGCACACUUGAGGAGUACAUUACAGAGCUUAUAUGCAGAGUACAUCAUGCGAAAUGCUGGGCUGGAUGAAGCACAAGCUGGAAUCAGGAUUGCCGGAAGAAAUAUCAAUAACCUAAAAUAUGCAGAUGGCACCACCCUUAUGGAAGAAAGCGAAGAGAAACUAAAGAGCCUCCUGAUGAAAGUGAAAGAGAAGAGUGAAAAAGCAGGGUUAAAACUCAACAUUAAGAAAACUAAGAUCAUGGCAUCCAGUCCCAUUACUUCAUAGUAAGUAGAUGGGGAAACAAUGGAAACAGUGAGAGACUUUAUUUUUGGGGGCUCCAAAAUCACUGCAGAUGGUGACUGCAGCCAUGAAAUUAAAAGACGCUUACUCCAUGGGAGGGAAGUUAUGACCAACCUAGACAGUAUAUUAAAAAGCAGAGACUUACUUUGCCAACAA